UUUGGAAAAACAGUCAUUAGUUCAACAACCAGAACUUGUGCUUUCCAAAACUCCUGUCAAUGACUCUGCUGUAUCCGAGUCGGGCGAACAGGAAGAGGAAAAAGUAGGAACAUCUCCUGAUUACACGGACGAAGAUUAUGCAGAACUGAAGCAUGAUCACGAUGAAAACAAUAAUAACAGCGAGAGCAAAAAGGCAGAACCUGAACAAAAGAGGAAGACUCGUGUUCCCUUUGAGAGGCUGAAGAAAGCUGGCUACAAAAUAUCACCAAAAGAACCCGCUGGCCAAUUUGAGACAGAACAUGAGGAAAAAGAAAAGGAAACUCCUGCUACCACAGAAGACAGCCAAAUUCUGAAAGAAACAAUACAAGUACAAA